UGAAGAGUUUGAUCAUGGCUCAGAUUGAACGCUGGCGGCAGGCCUAACACAUGCAAGUCGAACGGUAACAGGAAGCAGCUUGCUGCUUCGCUGACGAGUGGCGGACGGGUGAGUAAUGUCUGGGAAACUGCCUGAUGGAGGGGGAUAACUACUGGAAACGGUGGCUAAUACCGCAUAACGUCGCAAGACCAAAGAGGGGGACCUUCGGGCCUCUUGCCAUCAGAUGUGCCCAGAUGGGAUUAGCUUGUUGGUGAGGUAACGGCUCACCAAGGCGACGAUCCCUAGCUGGUCUGAGAGGAUGACCAGCCACACUGGAACUGAGACACGGUCCAGACUCCUACGGGAGGCAGCAGUGGGGAAUAUUGCACAAUGGGCGCAAGCCUGAUGCAGCCAUGCCGCGUGUAUGAAGAAGGCCUUCGGGUUGUAAAGUACUUUCAGCGGGGAGG
rnacentral:rRNA from 1 species